AUUAAGGUGAAAAAUUAAUUUUGAUGACAAUUUAAUACAUAAACAAUAUUGAAACCCCUCUAUACUUCUAAUCUACCAGUUUAGAUUAGUAAAGUAUAUAAUUCAUUCCCCAAUCUUCUAUUUUUAGAAACAAACUAUUUUUAGAAACAAACGUCACUGAUGAGUUAUAAAUAGCUCUUGGGAUGCUGUUUUGAGUGAUCUGAUGCACUUUUCCAUAAUAAAAUUACUGAAAAUCCUAAUAGUUUGAAAUAACACAUAUAUAUAAUUGUUCUGCCAUAAUAAUAGCUGAAGGCAACUUUAAUGUAAUCAUAAUUUUGUUAUACCUCUGUGCCGUCCAUCUAGUAUAUCUACCGACCCCAGAAGCAUACUCGCUUAUCAUUUAGUCAAAAGUUUAUAUUUUUGAAAAUUGUACGGUUAAUACACUCUAAUAGUUUUGGAUUAUAAAAUAUUGUCUAUAAACAUGAUUGUAUGGACAGCUUUUAAUGUAAUCUCAAUAUUAAAAGGAAAACGUUUUUGGGAUGGUUUUGUAUUGAUUUUACAAAAUUACUCUUGUGAAAUGUAUCAAUAUAAUAUUUUUGUAGAAACAUUGAUUUUUUUGUCAUACAGAUCAUUUUUAGCUUGACUAUUCGAAGAAUAUGAGAGCUAUUGUAGUCGCCCCGGCGUCAGCGUCCGCGUCUGCGUUGGUUAAAGUUUUUUGUAAAGUCAAAUAUCUCAAUUAUUACUUGAGAUAUUCAAUUGAAAUUUACAAUACUUAUUUAUAGUAACAAGGUACAUCAGAUUGACAAGUUGGAUAACUCUGCCUACAAUAUUGACAGAAUUAUGCCCCUUUUUUAACUUAGAAAUUUUGGUUAAAGGUCUUCAAAGAUAUUUACUUGAAACUUUACACAUGCACUAAGGGUCAUAAUUGGAGGGUCAUAAUUGUAUGUCACUGACCAAGUUCCAUAACUCUAUCUUGCAUUAAGGCUGAUUCAUAUCCCCUUUUCUACUUAGUCUCUUGGUUAAUGUUUACAAGCAAGUUUUACAUAUCUCAAUAACUAUUAAAGAUAUUUAUUUAAAACUUCACAUGCAUUUAGGGUCAUAAUUGUAGGUCACUGACAAACAUCCAUAAUUCUAUCUUGCAUUUAGGCUGAUUUUUCUCCCCUUUAUAAACUUAUAAAUUCAUGGUAAAGUUUUGCUUGUAAGCUGUUAUUUCAAUAACUAAUGAAGGGUUUUACCUUCCGAAUAGUCAAGCCAAUACUGUAUAAUUAGACUCUCUCUAAGGCCUAUAACAUGAAUUUAUAAAAAAAAAUUAGCCCUUUUGUGAACUUAAAAAAUUUAACAUUAUCAAGGCUCUUUUACUAUCAAGCACUUAGAAUAGUCGAGCAUGCUGUGUCCUACCGACAGCUCUUGUUACAGGUGUGGUUGAUGCAAAAAUACUGAAUCUCUUAAUUUUAUUUGUUUUUCUGGUUUGUAUCCCAAGUUUUACACAUUCUUUUGGUCAUAUCUCAACCGUCCUUCCACCUAUUAUCUUCCCUGAAUAACUUACCAGUAAUUACCAAUUACUCCACAAGUGACAGCCUAGAAAUUAUGACCACACAAUUUUGAUAUAGUUGUGAGAGACAAAUGAUUUUUAGACAAAAUGUCCAAAGAUCAAUUCGUCACAGAGAAAUUCUGUCUUGCUCAAGGAUCAAACCUGACCAACCCCUGGUUUACUAUUCUGUCUGGAUGCUCUCCCUAUUGAGCUAAAUGGGGGACCUUUCUUUGAUUAUAGGCACCUUAUACUUUCUUCAGUGUGUAAAUAGGAAGUAAUCUGUUCUCUAAAAUUAUAGAAUUUUAUUUAUACCUAGAAAUAUAUGCCACAACAUUAUAGAUUUGAUUAAUACCAGUACACAUUUAAUAUAAAAAUCUGUUCUUUAGAAUGAAUAGCUAGAAAUCUAGGAUUUUGAAUUAUAAAAUGGCUAGAAAUAUAAUAUGCUUUUGUAAUUCUAGAAUGGGUAAAUUAUUAGAAAUCUUAUUUAGACUUUUAAAUUAUAGACUAGGAAAACAGGUAGAAAUCUAUGCUUUCUUAGUCUAGAACAGGGUUAAUAAUUAGAAAUCUAGGCUUUUCAAUUCAGGUAGAAAUCUUGGCUUUCUAUUUUUAAAAUGGGUAAAUAAUUAGAAAUAAUUAUGGGCAUUUAAAUGAUAGAAUGGCUAAACAGGAAAAAAUCUUGGCUUUCUAUUUCUAGAAUAGGUAAAUAAUUAGAAAUAUGUGCUUUUUAAUUAUAGAAUUGGGCUUAACAGUACAUUUUGUAGAUAACUUAAACUGAAUCUCUGUUUAGUUUGAUCAUCUAAAGACAUAUCCUGCUAUUAAAUGGGCUUGUCCAGCUUCCAUUCUGGAACUAUCUAUUAUAUCUAUUUUUGGGGAUAUCAAGAUGAAAACUUUAAAUUGGUCAGCCUACAAUAUACAGUUAAUUCAGAAAGCACAGAUGUACAUGCUGGCCUGGCUACAUACUGGUUGCAUAAACUUAUGUCAGGCAGAUUAAAGGUUAGGAAAAUAAUCUCAUAAAUAUAAUCCACUUCACCUGGUCAUCUUAAAAAUAUAGUCAAAUAUAUUCACUCAAUUAAUACUUUCAUAAACAAAUAGUAAAGGGAUGUAAAUUGAAAUGUACUUUUAAAGUGGAUUGGUCUACAAUUAGCAUAUUUUUCGUAAGUAUUUUAAAAAUUGGUAAAAACUAUAGAAAUAUAUUAUUUCAAUAUUCGAUCUUAGGAAAUAUUUUCUGGAAAACAUAAUGUUGAUUGUUCUUAUGUGAUUUUUGUAAGAACAAAGUUAUGAUGAAUUAUAAUAUUUUGUUCUAAAACAAUUUAUUAUCUGCAAUAUCUGUUUAUAUGUCAUAAUUAUUAGAUCAUGUAUCCAACACAUACCGAGUUUCCUUUGCAGUUUGUUUACACAUGUGAUAGUUGAUACUGAAUAAUACCAACAUAAUUACAUAUGGUAUUAAAGGUCUUCUAUUGAUAGAUCCCUAUUCUGACCUUUUAUUUGAUUAACAAUAGAUUUAACCACAGACAUUGACAUGUGCUCUUUUGUUAAAACGGAGGUUGUGGUGAUAUUCCUAUUGUAUCCACUAAACAGAUUAAUAAUAUCUGUCAUAUGUUGCGGUUCGGACCGGAAUAUCCGUCCCGAGGUGACCCGCCCAUGGGCGGGUAACCUAGGGACGGAUAUUCCGAUUCGAACCGCAAACAUAUGUCAGAUAUUUUUUCUUGCAUAUUCUACAAUAUUUCAUUAUAUUUUAAAUUAGUUAUCAUUAUUUUCAACGGAAAUAAUUUAUAUCAUUACAGCCGUAACUAUUUUCUUACAACAGCGUAUGAAAUUGCAACUUCAUUCAUAACGAUAAAAUGACGUCAUCCUGAGCGUGCCAUUGUACAGCACGCGACUCAUCUGGCACCCCCCCAUGCCAGAUGAAAUUUCCGGCAUGGGUAAGACACACGGAAACGCCAGUCUGCUUUGCAAGAAACAUUAAUUGUAAUUAUAACACAGGAACUUGAAAUUCUAUCAAUAUUAAUGAUAAUAUCCAAAAUAUACCCCCUAUACAGUACAGUAUAAAUAAACCUAUUUAUACUGUUUAGGGGCUAUAUUUUGGAUAUUAUCAUUAAUAUUGAUAGAAUUUCAAGUUCCUUUGAAUUAUAAUUAGAGAGGUCAAGGAUCUAUGCAUUACAGACCAAUUCACUUUAAAAUAUAGAAAUAAGGUUCUGUUUAUUAUUAAGACACACCAAUACAGUGACUUUAUCAUCUGAUAUAUUGUAACUCAUCGCCAUAUUCAUGUUAAAAAUGCCUAAUAGAUCUCUCUUAUUAGAACAUCAUGGUUUGUAAAUAUACAUGUCAUAAAUAUUUUUAUUGAAGUGUGCAAUAAAAAAAUGAAUAGUA